rnacentral:misc_RNA from 1 species
GAUGAAGAACGUAGUGAAAUGCGAUAAGUAAUGUGAAUUGCAGAAUUCAGUGAAUCAUCGAAUCUUUGAACGCACAUUGCGCCCGCUAGUAUUCUGGCGGGCAUGCCUGUCCGAGCGUCAUUUCAACCCUCAAGCCCCCGGGCUUGAUGUUGGGGAUCGGCGAGCCUCCGCGCCCGCCGUCCCCUAAAUCUAGUGGCGGUCUCGCUGUAGCUUCCUCUGCGUAGUAGCACACCUCGCACUGGGAAACAGCGCGGCCACGCCGUUAAACCCCCAACUUCUGAACGUUUGACCUCGGAUCAGGUAGGAAUACCCGCUGAACUUAAGCAUAUCAAUAAGCGGAGGA